CCUUGGACCCUUUCUAGGCAGCGAUUCCCAUGAAGGGGCCGUCUCCUGGUAACUAGGCUGCUCACUCAGAAACCAAAAUAGAAACUCUUCUAUUUUUUCUUUUCUUGCUUGACACACAUAGAAGAAAACAUCCCUGCCUCCUGAACUGCUUCCAGCUUUUAAAAGGUCCCAGCAAAAUGAAUGUCAAACAAGUGAAGCAAAGCAAAGCAAGGCAAGACAAUGUCAGCAGAAAGCGAGCUCCUAGAAGAGGAGUGAUUACUCCAAGUCGAAGUCUUCAUCAUCCUGUUUGAAGCAAGUCCAGUUUUGACUCCUUCAGGGGGUUCAGACUCACUCCAGGGUGCUGGACUAAUAACUACUGCCCUGCUAAAGGGGAUCAAAGUCCAGAUCGGACCUCAAAACAACCCAGCCUUCCCAAAUCAGGGAAGACACAGAACCAGGUGCUUACAGUCUAGAAGGUGAGAGACACAAAAUAAAGGAAGAGAAAGUGGAAAGAUGAAGGUGAGGAUAAGUGCUCAAAUGAUGGAGCAUACAAGUUGAUUUGCACAGAAGAGCUACAGAUUGUUGUGAAUGCAAAAAUAUGUAUCCAGAUAUUUUGUUACUCCCUGUAUCUGUAAUUUAUUUUAAGCACUUGGGAGAGUACAGUAUAAUAGAGUGAGCAGACAUGUUCUCUGCCCAAGUGCUGAGGAUGGGCAAUAAGGAGAGUACCCUAAUGCCAACGAUGAGGAGUUUUUGCUUGAUGUGAAGAAGAAUAUGCAAUGAUUGAAGGGUUUUGACGAGUUGACAAGUGUGGACAACAAGACAUUUUAGAAAAAUUAUCAGGUAAGCAAAGUGUAGAACAGACUAAAGAGGGUAGAGACUAGAGACAGGUAAACCAAUGAGGAGGUUGAUACAGACCCAGGGUGAUGGUUGUUUGGAUGGAGUGGAAGAAACAGAUCUGGGAAAUAUGGUGGAAGAUUGAGUCAUAAACUGAAUGAGAGGCUUAAAUGAGAGAGAGUCAUCAACUCACAGGUUUCAGAGACAGGAUGGCGGUGUUGUUACCUGUGAUAGGAAAAUUAGGUGAAGGAGUGGAUUACUGGUAUGUUUACUGUGUGUGGUUUGGGAGGGAAGCUGAGAAGUCAAAUUUCAGAUGUACUGAAUUUAUUGUGCUGAUGGGACUUCCAUAUAGAGCUGUCCCGGAGGAAGAAGAAAUGUGAUCGUGGAGGAAAUGAAAGGUCAAGAUAAUAGAGAUAGAUUUGGGAGAUCUGCGUAGAUGUGGUAGUUGAAGAGGGAGAGCAGAUGAAAUAAAAGUUAGAAGGGAAAGGGAUCCUAACAAAACUAUGGGGAAUAAUCUAUUCUCCCCUCUGGACUGUAAGCUUGAUGUGGGCAGGGAAUAU